ensembl:ncRNA Y53H1C.9 ncRNA
CCAAAAUAUCGAUUUCCCAUCAAGUUAUACCAUUUUUCAGUUGGUGGCCUAGGUUUUAGCCUGAUGGCCUAGAAUUCCUAGAGUUCGGCCACUGUUUUCCCACGUGAUAGUCCUUGAAAUUCUCUAUCGAAUAUCUUUUACAGCAAGCGAAAAUAUUGAUUUUCCGUU